rnacentral:lncRNA from 1 species
AUUGUUUUGGUUUGGUUUGGUUUGAUUUUGUUUUUAACAAGAUUAUCUAAAUCCCAAAUGAUACCACUUUCCCCUAGUCCCAGUAUUUCCAGAAUCAUUAAUCAUCAAAGCAAUACUCAUUGACCUACCAGUUAAUUUGGGUUAUCUGAUCAUCAAGAUGCUGUGUUUUAGAAUAAGAGAGUCAGAGCUUUAUUAUUCAUCAUUCACCCUAGUCCUCUGCUUUUUUUAUGUUUAUAAACAUACAAUUAAUUCUAAUAGUUCUUUCUGGUUUCUUAUUGUUUGAAGUGGUGUGUGGUUAGGAGUUGGUUUCUGCAUCAUUCAAGGAAAUCUGACAAAAUAUUCAAUAUUCAGAAUAAGUUAAAAGAACCUAGUGCAAUCAUUAGGGCAGUAGAAGUUGUGACCUCAUCCAUACGCACAAAAACACAAAUACAUACAUACAUACAUACAUACAUACAUACAUACAUACACACAACACACAUAAUACAACAUACAUACAUACAUACAUUCCUUUAGUCUGUUGGUACUUUUGACAGGAAAUGGUUUAGGAGUUGAAAGAGGCUUGGUGUCUGUGUUGAAGAUCUGGGGGAGGUUACAGAAGGUUAAUUUGUCUUUUUCUUUCACUCUGAGUGAAUGGCUAAGCUGGAAGAACAUGGUAAUCAAUCUGAAGAAGUCAAAUAAUAUCCAAUGGCUAAAGCUUAUGGAUCAUUAAAAUGUCAGUGGUUUGAAUGAUACUUUUUCAAGAAACUGGGGGUCUUCCUUGUUACUUUACAUACACAAAAACUUCAGCAGCCCUGGAGUGAGCCCAGAGCUUCAGAUUCAAGCUUGCCCAAAACUAAAUGACUUCUAGUCCUCUUUUAAUGCUAGGCACAAGCAUUGUCUAUUCUUAAAUAUCAGCCCAAUCAAUUAGGGUAUGUUUCUAAAAAUUUAACCUGCAUUUAUGUCACUAAAAUCUUAACCCAAAAUUUAAAAAACAUGUCUCAUAUGUGUGCUGUACUAGGCUUCAUGAUGCAUUUCUAAAUUUGUGUAUCAUUUGAAUAUAUGAAAGAAUUUAUACAAGAGUGUUAUUUAAAAUUAUUAAUAAAUGUAUAUAAUUUGUACCUAUUGUAGAUUUGUUUCACUUUUUUAUGUAGUGAGAGAUUUUAGAAGUCUUGAGGUAAGUACUAAAGAUCACUUGUCAGUUCAUUUCAUGGAAGUCUUUAUAUCCUUUCUGUACUGACCAAUGUUUUGUUUAAGUUUAUCGAAGGAGUGAUGGGGAGAAGAUACCACAUGGGAUAAUCCAUUCUGAUACAGCAAAUUCACACCAGAGAUGAAAGUACAUAUGUACAUUUUUAUUGGGCUAGGAAUAUGGCUGAGGUGUAAGUCACUUGCAUACCAAGCCCACAGCCCCUAGUUCCAUCCUCAGCACUUAUAAUAAACAAAAAGUAGCAUAAACAUUUGUCCACACCAUUUUCUGUCUUCUAUGCCACUCCCUGAGAUUUCUAUCAAAAUGUGUUAAGACUGAUUCCCUUUGGAUUUCUGACUUACAUGUGAAGACUUUUUGAACUCUGGAAGUGAAGUACAUUCUAUGUUUAUUAGGUAAUUCAUAAAAGAGUGCAUCUUUCUAUUAUUUUUAGUUUCCAUUGAAGAAGUGUUCUUUUUUAUCGUUAAACCAUGUUUAAUGAAAUGUCAUCGGUUGUCCCGUUAAACAUUAAGGGGUUUUUUGAAAACACUGCAGCAAGAUGUCAGUCAUCUCUUUGCACUGAGAACUUUAAAACCUUAAGUCAAUUUGUUCUACCUCAGCUGUUCAUGAUAGCUCACACCUGUGAUCUCAGCACUUGGGAAGUGAAAGCAGGAGGGUCAGCACUACAUAGUGAAUCCGAGGCCAGCCUGGGCUACAUGAGACUCUAUCUUAAAAAGAAAAUUAUAUUUCAGUUAAAUUUAAGCUAAAGUUUAAAAUACACUUUACAAACAAACCUUAAGUGGUUAAUAUCUUAUGUCUGUAUGAUAUAUAUUUGGUAUGUUAAGGGAACAAAAUAAUUAUGCCAGGAAGCUAAACAAAUUAAGCUUUCAAGAGAAAAAAAAUGUAUACAAACAACACAUUAGCAGAAAUACCACUAAAAGAAUAAAGUAUUUUUAUGCUUCUGAUGAAAGUCUAUAAAGACAUCUCCAUUGCAUUAUCACAACUGAUUGUAUUAAUUUUCUGCAGGGAAGUAGGACAUGUUCCAGAAAUUCAAAUGCUCUAUUGUAAUUAAAAUGUGACAACAAUUGUAAAUAAAAUCAUUAUAAUC